CAGUCGAGCGGACAGAUGGGAGCUUGCUCCCUGAUGUCAGCGGCGGACGGGUGAGUAACACGUGGGUAACCUGCCUGUAAGACUGGGAUAACUCCGGGAAACCGGGGCUAAUACCGGAUGCUUGAUUGAACCGCAUGGUUCAAUUAUAAAAGGUGGCUUUUAGCUACCACUUACAGAUGGACCCGCGGCGCAUUAGCUAGUUGGUGAGGUAACGGCUCACCAAGGCAACGAUGCGUAGCCGACCUGAGAGGGUGAUCGGCCACACUGGGACUGAGACACGGCCCAGACUCCUACGGGAGGCAGCAGUAGGGAAUCUUCCGCAAUGGACGAAAGUCUGACGGAGCAACGCCGCGUGAGUGAUGAAGGUUUUCGGAUCGUAAAACUCUGUUGUUAGGGAAGAACAAGUACCGUUCGAAUAGGGCGGUACCUUGAC
rnacentral:rRNA from 1 species